rnacentral:rRNA from 2 species
UCAGAGCGAACGCUGGCGGCAGGCCUAACACAUGCAAGUCGAACGAACUCUUCGGAGUUAGUGGCGGACGGGUGAGUAACACGUGGGAACGUGCCUUUAGGUUCGGAAUAACUCAGGGAAACUUGUGCUAAUACCGAAUGUGCCCUUCGGGGGAAAGAUUUAUCGCCUUUAGAGCGGCCCGCGUCUGAUUAGCUAGUUGGUGAGGUAAAGGCUCACCAAGGCGACGAUCAGUAGCUGGUCUGAGAGGAUGAUCAGCCACAUUGGGACUGAGACACGGCCCAAACUCCUACGGGAGGCAGCAGUGGGGAAUCUUGCGCAAUGGGCGAAAGCCUGACGCAGCCAUGCCGCGUGAAUGAUGAAGGUCUUAGGAUUGUAAAAUUCUUUCACCGGGGACGAUAAUGACGGUACCCGGAGAAGAAGCCCCGGCUAACUUCGUGCCAGCAGCCGCGGUAAUACGAAGGGGGCUAGCGUUGCUCGGAAUUACUGGGCGUAAAGGGAGCGUAGGCGGACAUUUAAGUCAGGGGUGAAAUCCCGGGGCUCAACCUCGGAAUUGCCUUUGAUACUGGGUGUCUUGAGUAUGAGAGAGGUGUGUGGAACUCCGAGUGUAGAGGUGAAAUUCGUAGAUAUUCGGAAGAACACCAGUGGCGAAGGCGACACACUGGCUCAUUACUGACGCUGAGGCUCGAAAGCGUGGGGAGCAAACAGGAUUAGAUACCCUGGUAGUCC